CUAUUGCAAACGGACUAUCACCGCCGGUUCAAAGUAACCCGACGGUGAUGAGGCAUCACCGCAGGUUCCAAAGUUGGUGGCCGUAGCGGCUGUUGGAACCGACGGUGAUGAGGUGCAUCACCGCCGGUUCGUAACACGAACCGUUGGUGAUGGUACUGUAGGGCAUCACCGUCGGUUCGUAACACGAACCGGCGGUGAUGAGGCUCAUUACCGCCGGGUCGGAGCUGGACCCGACGGUGAAGCUUCGUUGACCCCAAAAUAAGACUGCGCACGCCCUGCUGCCUCCCAAAAUCCUGUUCGCCCUUGUCAAAAAAAAAUCAUGUUCGCCCGCCCGCGCCUCCGAGGAGGUCCGGCUCGGGCCGCCGGCCCUGCUUGCACCGGCCAUCGUCCCGUGCAGAGGUGCCGCCCCCGCCCCGAGCACCUGACGCACCACCAUUCCUGAGCCCCCGUGCCGACCCGUGCCGCACGCGCCGCCAUCCCUGAGUCUCGGCGCCUCCCUUGACGCCAGCGCCGGCCCCGCGAGGAGCUGCCGCGCCGCCGUUGCGAGGAGCUAUCCUGCCAUCGUCGUGAGGAGGUUCGGCCUCCUACUCGCUCCUCCGCUCCUUGACGUGCUAGAUCAAGGUAAUCCCUAGGAGCACAUAUGAACAAGUGGAGCUUGCUUGUUACCUGUUGUGAACAAUUCAUUUUCUACUAGUUGAAAUUCUGCAGGAGCAGAAGUGGAUCAUAGCUGUUGUUUAUGGUGCCUGUAUAUGCCUUUGAAUCUGUAUAUGUGAAACUUCUGUGCACUAGUUCAUCACAUGGCAGUUCAUUUUCUGGAAUGAUAUACAAAGGAACCGUUCACAAUGGAGUAGCAGUUCACAAUGGAGUUAGCAGUUCAAAAUGCAACAGAGUUGGUGCAAAGAGUAUCAUGCAAGGUUUCUUUUUACAAUGACUAUCCUCAUCUUUAAUUGUUUACAAUGACAAAUAUGCAACACUAUAUUCAAUUGUCUCACUCAUUAUCAUUACAGAAAGUGCUCACUGCUCUCAUCUCAAUAUUUUUACACAUCUCCAUAUACUUUAUUAUGUGUUCACUGUUUUAUGUUUAACAUUUAGGCAGUAACACAUCUCCAUAUACUUAUUGCAAGUUUAUUUCAAAUUGAGGAAGCUGAACUGAGCAUUAUGAAUCUGUAUGCUGAUUCCUAAUGAUAUAUAUCAAGAAGGCGUAAUUGUAAGAGAGACAUGAUGGGUGCAACUUGGAGUAGCAUGUGAGCUCAUAUGCAUUGCUGAAGAAUCUUUUU